AGUGAACGCUGGCGGUAGGCCUAACACAUGCAAGUCGAACGGCAGCACAGUAAGAGCUUGCUCUUACGGGUGGCGAGUGGCGGACGGGUGAGGAAUACAUCGGAAUCUACUUUUUCGUGGGGGAUAACGUAGGGAAACUUACGCUAAUACCGCAUACGACCUACGGGUGAAAGCAGGGGAUCUUCGGACCUUGCGCGAUUGAAUGAGCCGAUGUCGGAUUAGCUAGUUGGCGGGGUAAAGGCCCACCAAGGCGACGAUCCGUAGCUGGUCUGAGAGGAUGAUCAGCCAAACUGGAACUGAGACACGGUCCAGACUCCUACGGGAGGCAGCAGUGGGGAAUAUUGGACAAUGGGCGCAAGCCUGAUCCAGCCAUACCGCGUGGGUGAAGAAGGCCUUCGGGUUGUAAAGCCCUUUUGUUGGGAAGGAAAAGCAGCAGGUUAAUACCCCGCUGUUCUGACGGUACCCAAAGAAUAAGCACCGGCUAACUUCGU
rnacentral:rRNA from 1 species